AUGCACGCUGGCGGCGUGCCUCAUCCAUGCAAGUCGAGCGAACAGACGAGGAGCUUGCUCCCCUGACGUUAGCGGCGGACGGGUGAGUAACACGUGGAUAACCUACCUAUAAGACUGGGAUAACUUCGGGAAACCGGAGCUAAUACCGGAUAAUAUAUUGAACCGCAUGGUUCAAUAGUGAAAGACGGUUUUGCUGUCACUUAUAGAUGGAUCCGCGCCGCAUUAGCUAGUUGGUAAGGUAACGGCUUACCAAGGCAACGAUGCGUAGCCGACCUGAGAGGGUGAUCGGCCACACUGGAACUGAGACACGGUCCAGACUCCUACGGGAGGCAGCAGUAGGGAAUCUUCCGCAAUGGGCGAAAGCCUGACGGAGCAACGCCGCGUGAGUGAUGAAGGUCUUCGGAUCGUAAAACUCUGUUAUUAGGGAAGAACAAAUGUGUAAGUAACUAUGCACGUCUUGACGGUACCUAAUCAGAAAGCCACGGCUAACUACGUG
rnacentral:rRNA from 1 species